rnacentral:rRNA from 1 species
GAUGAACGCUAGCGGCAGGCUUAACACAUGCAAGUCGAGGGGUAUAGUAGCAAUACUAGAGACCGGCGCACGGGUGCGUAACGCGUAUGCAAUCUACCUUUUACAGAGGGAUAGCCCAGAGAAAUUUGGAUUAAUACCUCAUAGUAUAAUUGAAUGGCAUCAUUUAAUUAUUAAAGUCACAACGGUAAAAGAAUGAGCAUGCGUCCCAUUAGCUUGUUGGAAGGUAACGGCUUACCAAGGCUACGAUGGGUAGGGGUCCGUGAGAGGGAGGAUCCCCACCACUGGUAC